rnacentral:rRNA from 1 species
UUUCAUGAGAGUUUGAUCCUGGCUCAGGACGAACGCUGGCGGCGUGCCUAAUACAUGCAAGUCGAGCGAACCGAUGAAGUGCUUGCACUUCUGACGUUAGCG